GUGUCGGUGGUGCAGCGGUUCGAGCAAGUGCUCCCGGAUAGGGUGAGAUGUGGGUUCGAGUUCCAACUGGCGCA